GAUCCUGGCUCAGGACGAACGCUGGCGGCGUGCUUAACACAUGCAAGUCGAACGGAAAGGCCUAAGCUUGCUUGGGUACUCGAGUGGCGAACGGGUGAGUAACACGUGAGUGAUCUGCCCUCAACUUCGGGAUAAGCCUGGGAAACUGGGUCUAAUACUGGAUAGGACCAUCCUUUAGUGUGUGAUGGUGGAAAGUUUUUUCGGUUGGGGAUGAGCUCGCGGCCUAUCAGCUUGUUGGUGGGGUAAUGG
rnacentral:rRNA from 1 species